GAUAAGAACGCAGCGAAAUGCGAUACGUAAUGUGAAUUGCAGAAUUCAGUGAAUCAUCGAGUCUUUGAACGCACAUUGCGCCCGCUAGUAUUCUGGCGGGCAUGCCUGUCCGAGCGUCAUUUCAACCCUCAAGCCCCCGGGCUUGGUGUUGGGGAUCGGCGAGCCUCCGCGCCCGCCGUCCCCUAAAUCUAGUGGCGGUCUCGCUGUAGCUUCCUCUGCGUAGUAGCACACCUCGCACUGGGAAACAGCGCGGCCACGCCGUUAAACCCCCAACUUCUGAACGUUUGACCUCGGAUCAGGUAGGAAUACCCGCUGAACUUAAGCAUAUCAAUAAGCGGAGGA
rnacentral:misc_RNA from 1 species